rnacentral:rRNA from 1 species
AAUGAACACUGGCGGUGUGCCUAACACAUGCAAGUCGAGCGACAACACGGGAAGCUCUUUCUCUUGCGGUUAGCGGCUGACGGGCGAGUAACACGUGGAUAGCCUUCUUCUUUUUCUUGGGGAAUAUCGGGGGGAAACUGCUAAUACUGCCUCAUACAUCCAACGGCUUGAUUCAGUAGUGAUAGACGGUUUUCCUGUUACUAUUAGCUGGAUCCGGGUCGCAUUAGCUAGUUGGUAAGGUACCGGCAUACCAAGGCAACGAUGCGUAGCUGACCUGAGAGGAUGAUCAGCCACACUGGAACUGAGACACGGUCCAGACUCCUACGGGAGGCAGCAGUGGGGAAUCUUCCGCAAUGGGCGAAAGCCUGAUGGAGCAACACCGCGUGAGUGAUGAAGGUCUUCGGAUCGUAAAGCUCUGUUAUUAGGGAAGAAAAAAAGUAUGAGUAACCAUGCACGUCUUGACGGUACCUAAUCAGAAAGCCACGGCUAACUUCGUG